rnacentral:misc_RNA from 1 species
CGCACAUUGCGCCCGCCAGUACUCUGGCGGGCAUGCCUGUCCGAGCGUCAUUUCAACCCUCGAGCCCCCGGGCUUGGUGCUGGGGAUCGGCCGUCACUGGCCGGCCCCGAAAUUGAUUGGCGGUCUCGCCGUAGCCUCCUCUGCGUAGUAGCAACACCUCGCACUGGAACGCGGCGCGGCCCAGCCGUUAAACCCCCAACUUCUGAAAGGUUGACCUCGGAUCAGGUAGGAAUACCCGCUGAACUUAA